UCUUGGUGGCUCAGACGGUAAAGCGUCUGUCUACAAUGCAGGAGACCCAGGUUUGAGCCCUGGAUUGGGAA
rnacentral:tRNA from 1 species